rnacentral:rRNA from 1 species
UUUUGUGGAGGGUUCGAUUCUGGCUCAGGAUGAACGCUGGCGGCGUGCUUAACACAUGCAAGUCGAACGGGAUCCAUCAAGCUUGCUUGGUGGUGAGAGUGGCGAACGGGUGAGUAAUGCGUGACCGACCUGCCCCAUACCCCGGAAUAGCUCCUGGAAACGGGUGGUAAUGCCGGAUGCUCCAGUUGAUCGCAUGGUCUUCUGGGAAAGCUUUCGCGGUAUGGGAUGGGGUCGCGUCCUAUCAGCUUGACGGCGGGGUAACGGCCCACCGUGGCUUCGACGGGUAGCCGGCCUGAGAGGGCGACCGGCCACAUUGGGACUGAGAUACGGCCCAGACUCCUACGGGAGGCAGCAGUGGGGAAUAUUGCACAAUGGGCGCAAGCCUGAUGCAGCGACGCCGCGUGAGGGAUGGAGGCCUUCGGGUUGUAAACCUCUUUUAUCGGGG